rnacentral:rRNA from 1 species
GAUGAACGCUGGCGGCGUGCCUAAUACAUGCAAGUCGAGCGAACGGACGAGAAGCUUGCUUCUCUGAUGUUAGCGGCGGACGGGUGAGUAACACGUGGAUAACCUACCUAUGAGACUGGGAUAACUUCGGGAAACCGGAGCUAAUACCGGAUAAUAUUUUGAACCGCAUGGUUCAAAAGUGAAAGACGGUCUUGCUGUCACUUAUAGAUGGAUCCGCGCUGCAUUAGCUAGUUGGUAAGGUAACGGCUUACCAAGGCAACGAUGCAUAGCCGACCUGAGAGGGUGAUCGGCCACACUGGAACUGAGACACGGUCCAGACUCCUACGGGAGGCAGCAGUAGGGAAUCUUCCGCAAUGGGCGAAAGCCUGACGGAGCAACGCCGCGUGAGUGAUGAAGGUCUUCGGAUCGUAAAACUCUGUUAUUAGGGAAGAACAUAUGUGUAAGUAACUGUGCACAUCUUGACGGUACCUAAUCAGAAAGCCACGGCUAACUACGUGCCAGCAGCCGCGGUAAUACGUAGGUGGCAAGCGUUAUCCGGAAUUAUUGGGCGUAAAGCGCGCGUAGGCGGUUUUUUAAGUCUGAUGUGAAAGCCCACGGCUCAACCGUGGAGGGUCAUUGGAAACUGGAAAACUUGAGUGCAGAAGAGGAAAGUGGAAUUCCAUGUGUAGCGGUGAAAUGCGCAGAGAUAUGGAGGAACACCAGUGGCGAAGGCGACUUUCUGGUCUGUAACUGACGCUGAUGCGCGAAAGCGUGGGGAUCAAACAGGAUUAGAUACCCUGGUAGUCCACGCCGUAAACGAUGAGUGCUAAGUGUUAGGGGGUUUCCGCCCCUUAGUGCUGCAGCUAACGCAUUAAGCACUCCGCCUGGGGAGUACGACCGCAAGGUUGAAACUCAAAGGAAUUGACGGGGACCCGCACAAGCGGUGGAGCAUGUGGUUUAAUUCGAAGCAACGCGAAGAACCUUACCAAAUCUUGACAUCCUUUGACAACUCUAGAGAUAGAGCCUUCCCCUUCGGGGGACAAAGUGACAGGUGGUGCAUGGUUGUCGUCAGCUCGUGUCGUGAGAUGUUGGGUUAAGUCCCGCAACGAGCGCAACCCUUAAGCUUAGUUGCCAUCAUUAAGUUGGGCACUCUAAGUUGACUGCCGGUGACAAACCGGAGGAAGGUGGGGAUGACGUCAAAUCAUCAUGCCCCUUAUGAUUUGGGCUACACACGUGCUACAAUGGACAAUACAAAGGGCAGCGAAACCGCGAGGUCAAGCAAAUCCCAUAAAGUUGUUCUCAGUUCGGAUUGUAGUCUGCAACUCGACUACAUGAAGCUGGAAUCGCUAGUAAUCGUAGAUCAGCAUGCUACGGUGAAUACGUUCCCGGGUCU